rnacentral:rRNA from 1 species
GAUGAACGCUGGCGGCAUGCCUAAUACAUGCAAGCCGAGCGAACGGACGAGAAGCUUGCUUCUCUGAUGUUAGCGGCGGACGGGUGAGUAACACGUGGAUAACCUACCUAUAAGACUGGGAUAACUUCGGGAAACCGGAGCUAAUACCGGAUAAUAUUUUGAACCGCAUGGUUCAAAAGUAAAAGACGGUCUUGCUGUCACUUAUAGAUGGAUCCGCGCUGCAUUAGCUAGUUGGUAAGGUAACGGCUUACCAAGGCAACGAUGCAUAGCCGACCUGAGAGGGUGAUCGGCCACACUGGAACUGAGACACGGUCCAGACUCCUACGGGAGGCAGCAGUAGGGAAUCUUCCGCAAUGGGCGAAAGCCUGACGGAGCAACGCCGCGUGAGUGAUGAAGGUCUUCGGAUCGUAAAACUCUGUUAUUAGGGAAGAAUAUAUGUGUAAGUAACUGUGCACAUCUUGACGGUACCUAAUCAGAAAGCCACGGCUAACUACGUGCCAGCAGCCGCGGUAAUACGUAGGUGGCAAGCGUUAUCCGGAAUUAUUGGGCGUAAAGCGCGCGUAGCGGUUUUUUAAGUCUGAUGUGAAAGCCCACGGCUCAACCGUGGAGGGUCAUUGGAAACUGGAAAACUUGAGUGCAGAAGAGGAAAGUGGAAUUCCAUGUGUAGCGGUGAAAUGCGCAGAGAUAUGGAGGAACACCAGUGGCGAAGGCGACUUUCUGGUCUGUAACUGACGCUGAUGUGCGAAAGCGUGGGGAUCAAACAGGAUUAGAUACCCUGGUAGUCCACGCCGUAAACGAUGAGUGCUAAGUGUUAGGGGGUUUCCGCCCCUUAGUGCUGCAGCUAACGCAUUAAGCACUCCGCCUGGGGAGUACGACCGCAAGGUUGAAACUCAAAGGAAUUGACGGGGACCCGCACAAGCGGUGGAGCAUGUGGUUUAAUUCGAAGCAACGCGAAGAACCUUACCAAAUCUUGACAUCCUUUGACAACUCUAGAGAUAGAGCCUUCCCCUUCGGGGGACAAAGUGACAGGUGGUGCAUGGUUGUCGUCAGCUCGUGUCGUGAGAUGUUGGGUUAAGUCCCGCAACGAGCGCAACCCUUAAGCUUAGUUGCCAUCAUUAAGUUGGGCACUCUAAGUUGACUGCCGGUGACAAACCGGAGGAAGGUGGGGAUGACGUCAAAUCAUCAUGCCCCUUAUGAUUUGGGCUACACACGUGCUACAAUGGACAAUACAAAGGGCAGCGAAACCGCGAGGUCAAGCAAAUCCCAUAAAGUUGUUCUCAGUUCGGAUUGUAGUCUGCAACUCGACUACAUGAAGCUGGAAUCGCUAGUAAUCGUAGAUCAGCAUGCUACGGUGAAUACGUUCCCGGGUCU